AGUAAUUACCAAUAGUGUCCAGUGCCUUUAAUAAGGAUAAAUCAUAAUUUGCAAUAAAAACUCAGAAAAUAGAAUAAGCUGAUGCAAACUGCUUACGAUUCCAACUGAGGAACUAUAAAGUUGAUAAAUGCUAACAAAUAAAUGGCGUGACGUUUCAACCCUAACUGAUUUUUUCAAAGACUAAAAAUUAAAAAGACUCUGCUAGGGUCGAAAAGUCAUGCCACAACAUUGUUUUUGUUCAUAAUAAAACUCAACAACAACGGCACCAUACUUUCGAUCAAAAUGUUGCAAUAAUGGAAAAGGGAAUUCUUAUUGUCAGAUAACCAGCUGGGCCCAGUCUCAUAAACCUGUUAAGCAGAAUAAUUCUUAGCUAAAGCAAGCAAUGACCGAGGUACCAGUUGAAAGCAAUGGUGCUGUAUCAGACUGGUAACCGAUUUUUGCUAAGCAAAGGUUAGUUUUGUGCUUACAAGGUUUAUAAAAUUGGAGCCUACUAACUGAGAAGUCUAAUUAUUUUUUUAAUUUGAAAAAGAUCUUGUUGCUUGAAGUGAUACUUAAUUUUGUGUUAUGUAAAUUUGUUAAUAAAAAAGCUUAUUAUUAAUUGUUAAAGUUGACAUUUUUUGCCAAUAGUCUCAAACGAAAGUAAUAACUAUAAGCCAUGUUACUUUGAUUGAUACAACUUUGUGACGAUCGUGAGGAUUUGGUUAUAUAAAAUAUCCACUGAAAAGGGGUACUCAAUAUUGCUUAAUGUUUAGUUGACCCUUUUCGAAUACAGGGUUUAAACUUUCAGGCUUUGGCUUAUGCUCAUUAAAAACCGACACUUUCAUUAUGGGAAUUCGGUGCCCAUAGGCCGAAGCAGUUACCCGCAAUUUCGAAAACGGCCACAAUUAAAGGCCCCUUGGCCGAACAGCGCCCUCAUGUUCUUUAAACGGCCUCUUCCCAAAGCAGCAUGGUUCGAGCAAAAAUUGGUGAAAAUCAGCUGGGGUGCACCAGUGCACCCACCCCUUAAUCUAUACCUGGCUCAGGACUGACUCAAGCACUCAAUCAGUGCACCCACCUCUAAAUCUAUGCCUGGCUCAGGACUGACUCAAGCACUCAAUCAGAAGAGGUAGCUGGGGCGAUCAGUUCAUUACAUGGUGUUGAAACUUCUGC